rnacentral:rRNA from 1 species
UUCCGGUUGAUCCCGCCGGAGGGUACUGCUAUCAGAUUUCGAUUAAGCCAUGCAAGUCAGCUCAUUCACUUGGAUGGGCGGCAUACGGCUGAGUAACACGUGGUCAAUCUAACCUAAGGACCAGAAUAACCUCGGGAAACUGAGGCUAACUCUGGAUAGGUGUCCUAUGCUGGAAGGCUUGGACGUUAAAACAGUUGGUGAAUUGGAGCCAAUCUGCCUUAGGAUGAGACUGCGGAGGAUUAUGGUAGUUGGUGAGGUAAUGGCUCACCAAGCCGAUAAUCCUUAGGGGCCAUGGGAGUGGUGGCCCCCAGAAGGGUACUGAGACAAGGACCCUAGUCCUACGGGAUGCAGCAGGCGCGAAACUUCUGCAAUGCGCGAAAGCGUGACAGGGGAAAUCUGAGUGGUAGAAACUUAGUUUCUAUCUUUUGCCAAGUGUAAAUAGCUUGGAGAAUAAGGGUGUGGGCAAGACUGGUGGCAGCCGCCGCGGUAACACCAGCGCCUCGAGUGGUACCCACGAAUAUUGGGCCUAGAGUGUCCGUAGCCGGACUAUUAAGUCCGCUGUGAAAUGUUGGAGCUCAACUCUAACGCGUGCAGUGGAUACUGUUAAGUCUUGGGAAUGGGGGAGGGUCGGAGUACUUCCAGGGUAGGGGUAAAAUCCGUUGAGCCUGGAAGGACUACCAGUGGCGAAGGCGCCGAUCCAAAACAUAUCCGACGGUGAGGGACGAAAGCUGGGGGAGCGAACGGGAUUAGAUACCCCGGUAGUCCCAGCUGUAAAUGAUGCAGACUGUGGUGUUUCUCCAGAGUAAUCUGGGGAAGUGCUGUAGCGUAGGUGUUAAGUCUGCCGCCUGGGGAGUACGAUCGCAAGAUUGAAACUUAAAGGAAUUGGCGGGGGAGCACCACAAGCCGUGGAUGCUACGGUUUAAUUGGAUUCAACGCCGGG